AUUUCAUUAGUUUAUUAUUUAAAAUAUAACUCUGAAGAAGUUAAGAAUUAUGAGAUA
rnacentral:tRNA from 1 species